CGCAGACCGUCUUCUAGAGCGCAGAGCGCGGAGAACGGACGCCAUAACCGCCUCCUCCGCUGUUCCAGAUGACAAACCGCCCAGGCGAGAUGUCCUCGCUGCGAGCCUCGGCCACAAUAUAUGAAGCCGACCCUCCCUCUCUUCCCUUCCUUUCACUAUCGCCGCCGUGAGGGAGAUUAUGAAGAACAGAGAGUGCGCGGAUGUCGAUUUUCUAUUGUGCGUGGGCGCAAGCCGUUCGGCUCCAGCCUCGUCUAGGGCCUUCGGUAAGCAUCAUUCCUCGCUCGCCGUCGUCUCGUGUACGUGUAGAAUACUUCACCGGUUGUAGCGCGUCACUAGUCGCCGCGCCGUCGGGCAGCCGGGUCAUUGUGUUGCCCGGCGUCGUGGGCAGAGCUCCCUGCCCUACCAACCCCUGUAGAUGUUAGCUGGACCGAUACACCUUCGUGACCUCACUCUGAAUCACCUCGCAUAGGGAAGAAAUAGGGAUCUGGGGAGCUAGGUCGCUUCUGCGUCGACGAUGCACCGCCGCUAUUGCGC
rnacentral:lncRNA from 7 species